UAGAGUUUGAUCAUGGCUCAGAACGAACGCUGGCGGCAUGCCUAACACAUGCAAGUCGAACGAUGCUUUCGGGCAUAGUGGCGCACGGGUGCGUAACGCGUGGGAAUCUGCCCUUAGGUUCGGAAUAACCAUUGGAAACGAUGGCUAAUACCGGAUGAUGACGUAAGUCCAAAGAUUUAUCGCCUGAGGAUGGGCCCGCGUAGGAUUAGCUAGUUGGUGUGGUAAAGGCGCACCAAGGCGACGAUCCUUAGCUGGUCUGAGAGGAUGAUCAGCCACACUGGGACUGAGACACGGCCCAGACUCCUACGGGGGGCAGCA
rnacentral:rRNA from 1 species